UACGUAGGGGGCAAGCGUUGUCCGGAUUUAUUGGGCGUAAAGAGCGUGUAGGCGGCUGGGUAGGUCCGCUGUGAAAACUCGAGGCUUAACCUCGAGACGUCGGUGGAAACCAUCCAGCUAGAGUCCGGAAGAGGAGAGUGGAAUUCCUGGUGUAGCGGUGAAAUGCGCAGAUAUCAGGAAGAACACCCGUGGCGAAAGCGGCUCUCUGGGACGGUACUGACGCUGAGACGCGAAAGCGUGGGGAGCAAACAGG
rnacentral:rRNA from 1 species